rnacentral:lncRNA from 1 species
UAGUCAAGGGCUUGAUGAUUAUUUGACAAGUUGAAUCAGGUGUGAUAGCUCUGGAAUAGUUGAAAUACAUGGAACAGCUGGAGGUCCCAGAGUAGAGGUUUGGAACGGCUGGAGGUUCCAGAGUAGAGGUUUGGAACGGCUGGAGGUUCCAGAGUAGAGGUUUGGAACGGCUGGAGGUUCCAGAGUAGAGGUUUGGAACGGCUGGAGGUUCCAGAGUAGAGGUUUGGAACGGCUGGAGGUUCCAGAGUAGAGGUUUGGAACGGCUGGAGGUUCCAGAGUAGAGGUUUGGAACGGCUGGAGGUCCCAGAGUAGAGGUUUGGAACGACUGGAGGUUCCAGAGUAGAGGUUUGGAACGGCUGGAGGUUCCAGAGUAGAGGUUUGGAACGGCUGGAGGUUCCAGAGUAGAGGUUUGGAACGGCUGGAGGUCCCAGAUGAGAGGUUUGGA